rnacentral:rRNA from 1 species
AAAUUGAAGAGUUUGAUCAUGGCUCAGAUUGAACGCUGGCGGUAGGCCUAACACAUGCAAGUCGAACGGUAACAGGAAGAAGCUUGCUUCUUUGCUGACGAGUGGCGGACGGGUGAGUAAUGUCUGGGAAACUGCCUGAUGGAGGGGGAUAACUACUGGAAACGGUAGCUAAUACCGCAUAACGUCGCAAGACCAAAGAGGGGGACCUUCGGGCCUCUUGCCAUCGGAUGUGCCCAGAUGGGAUUAGCUAGUAGGUGGGGUAACGGCUCACCUAGGCGACGAUCCCUAGCUGGUCUGAGAGGAUGACCAGCCACACUGGAACUGAGACACGGUCCAGACUCCUACGGGAGGCAGCAGUGGGGAAUAUUGCACAAUGGGCGCAAGCCUGAUGCAGCCAUGC